AUUGGUGUUUAAUAGAGAUAAGGUUUACCUUUUUCCAUUCCGAACAAAGAAGUAAAAAUUAUCUUCGCCGAUGGUACUAAUUAAAAAUUGGAAGAGUAGGUAAUGCCAAUU
rnacentral:rRNA from 1 species